rnacentral:rRNA from 1 species
AUUGAACGCUGGCGGCAGGCUUAACACAUGCAAGUCGAGCGGGGAUUGGGUGCUUGCACCUAAUCUUAGCGGCGGACGGGUGAGUAAUGCUUAGGAAUCUGCCAUUUAGUGGGGGACAACAUUCCGAAAGGGAUGCUAAUACCGCAUACGCCCUACGGGGGAAAGCAGGGGAUCUUCGGACCUUGCGCUAAGUGAUGAGCCUAAGUCGGAUUAGCUAGUUGGUGGGGUAAAGGCCUACCAAGGCGACGAUCUGUAGCGGGUCUGAGAGGAUGAUCCGCCACACUGGGACUGAGACACGGCCCAGACUCCUACGGGAGGCAGCAGUGGGGAAUAUUGGACAAUGGGCGGAAGCCUGAUCCAGCCAUGCCGCGUGUGUGAAGAAGGCCUUUUGGUUGUAAAGCACUUUAAGCGAGGAGGAGGCUACCUGGAUUAAUACUCUAGGAUAGUGGACGUUACUCGCAGAAUAAGCACCGGCUAACUCUGUGCCAGCAGCCGCGGUAAUACAGAGGGUGCGAGCGUUAAUCGGAUUUACUGGGCGUAAAGCGUGCGUAGGCGGCUGAUUAAGUCGGAUGUGAAAUCCCUGAGCUUAACUUAGGAAUUGCAUUCGAUACUGGUCAGCUAGAGUAUGGGAGAGGAUGGUAGAAUUCCAGGUGUAGCGGUGAAAUGCGUAGAGAUCUGGAGGAAUACCGAUGGCGAAGGCAGCCAUCUGGCCUAAUACUGACGCUGAGGUACGAAAGCAUGGGGAGCAAACAGGAUUAGAUACCCUGGUAGUCCAUGCCGUAAACGAUGUCUACUAGCCGUUGGGGCCUUUGAGGCUUUAGUGGCGCAGCUAACGCGAUAAGUAGACCGCCUGGGGAGUACGGUCGCAAGACUAAAACUCAAAUGAAUUGACGGGGGCCCGCACAAGCGGUGGAGCAUGUGGUUUAAUUCGAUGCAACGCGAAGAACCUUACCUGGCCUUGACAUAGUAGAAACUUUCCAGAGAUGGAUUGGUGC